rnacentral:rRNA from 1 species
AUGGAGCGCUGGCGGCAGGCCUAAUAGAUGCAGGUCGAACGAGUGGCGGACGGGUGAGUCAUCUCUUGGAAAGUGGCCGAUGUAGGGGGAUAAUAAAUGGAAACGGUAGCUAAUACCGCAUACCAUCGGAUGUGCCCAGAGGGGAUUAGCUAGGAGGUGGGGUAACGGCUAACCUAGGCGACGAUCCCUAGCUGGUCUGAGAGGAUGACCAGCCACACUGGUACUGAGACACGGUCCAGACUCCUACGGGAGGCAUCAGUGGGGAAUAUUGCAGACUGGGCCCAAGCCGGAUGCAGCCAUGCGGCGUGUAUGAAGAAGGCCUUCGGGUUGUCAACUACUUUCAGCGGGGAGGCGUUACCAGCAGAAGAAGCACAGGCUAGCUCCGUGUCAGCAGCCGCGGUAAUUC